rnacentral:lncRNA from 1 species
GUGUUUUACUUUGUAUAACGUGUAGAUAUUCAUGUGUUGUAUAUAUGUGUUAUGUUUUGCUUUUGCGCAAUUUUAUCUAGAUGUUCAUGUUUUGUAUUUCGUAGUUUACCUCUUGUAUUCAACAUGCGUGUAAACACUGUUGAUACUAGUUUAAUCUUGGGAGGAUAAGUUUAGAACCGUAGAAGCCUACAGUUAGUUGUGAGAAUCGGGA